rnacentral:rRNA from 1 species
UGGGGAAUAUUGGACAAUGGGGGAAAACCCGUGAUCCAGCAACGCCGCGUGUAGGAUGAAGGCCCUCGGGUUGUAAACUACUGUCACGGGUUAUGAAUGUGCAUAUGUUAACAGCGUGUGUAUUGACGUAAGCCCGAAAGGAAGCACCGGCUAACUCUGUGCCAGCAGCCGCGGUAAUACAGAGGGUGCAAACGUUGUUCGGAAUUACUGGGCAUAAAGCGCGCGUAGGCGGCGACGUAAGUGUAGGGUGAAAUCCCACGGCUCACCCGUGUGAAUUGCCCCGCAUACUGCGUUGCUCGAGUGUGGUAGGGGAGAGCGGAACUCCUGGUGGAGCGGUGAAAUGCGUAGAUAUCAGGAGGAACACCGGUGGCGUAGGCGGCUCUCUGGUCCAUAACUGACGCUGAAGUGCGAAAGCUAGGGUAGCGAACGGGAUUAGAUACCCCCGUAGUCCCUGAGCGGGCUGGCAAGGCGCAU